rnacentral:rRNA from 1 species
AGGUGAACUGCGGAAGGACAUUGUCGU